rnacentral:tRNA from 1 species
GAGAUUAUAGUUAAUAAUAACAUUUAAUUUGCAAUUAAAAAUUACCUAUAAGGUUAUUCUCA